rnacentral:rRNA from 1 species
CAAUAACGUAUAUUAAUGUUGUUGCAGUUAAAAAGCUCGUAGUUGGAUAUCUGGCAAGAGAGGACGGCCCGCCUUCGGGAUGAGCGCUGGAAUCUUGCGUCUAUCUUUCGGUGGUUGUCGCUUAUCCUUUAUUGGACGAGUGUUCACUUCCGGAUCAGUUACUUUGAAUAAAAACGGGUGUUCAACGCAGGCUUAUGCCUUGAAGUAUGCAGCAUGGAAUAGCAACCAUAGGACUAUAGUGUUCUAUUUGUUGGUUCUGGGACCUUAGUAAUGAUUGAUAGGGACAGUUGGGGGUGCUGCUAUUCCGCGGCCAGAGGUGAAAUUCUCAGAUUCCCGGAAGAGCAACUUAUGCGAAAGCAUUCACCAAGGAUGUCUUCUUUAA